GGAGGCAGCAGUGGGAAUUUNCCCAAUGGGGGAANCCUGAUGCAGCAACCCCNCUUGAGGAUGACGCCUUCGGGUUGUUAACCUUUUUAGCAAGGAGAAGNGAAAGUGACGGUACUUGCANAAAAGCGCCGGCUAAUUACGUGCCAGCAGCCGCGGUAAUACGUAGGGCGCAAGCGUUAUCCGGAAUUAUUNGGGCGUAAAGAGNUCGUAGGCGGUUUGUCGCNUUUGCUGUGAAAUCCCGAGGCUCAACCUCGGGCCUGCAGUGGGUACGGGCAGACUAGAGUGCGGUAGGGGAGAUUGGAAUUCCUGGUGUAGCGGUGGAAUGCGCAGAUAUCAGGAGGAACACCGAUGGCGAAGGCAGAUCUCUGGGCCGUAACUGACGCUGAGGAGCGAAAGGGUGGGGAGCAAACAGGCUUAGAUACCCUGGUAGUCCACCCCGUAAACGUUGGGAACUAGUUGUGGGGUCCUUUCCACGGAUUCCGUGACGCAGCUAACGCAUUAAGUUCCCCGCCUGGGGAGUACGGCCGCAAGGCUAAAACUCAAAGGAAUUGACGGGGACCCGCACAAGCGGCGGAGCAUGCGGAUUAAUUCGAUGCAACGCGAAGAACCUUACCAAGGCUUGACAUACACGAGAACACCCUAGAAAUAGGGGACUCUUUGGACACUCGUGAACAGGUGGUGCAUGGUUGUCGUCAGCUCGUGUCGUGAGAUGUUGGGUUAAGUCCCGCAACGAGCGCAACCCUCGUUCUAUGUUGCCAGCACGUAAUGGUGGGAACUCAUGGGAUACUGCCGGGGUCAACUCGGAGGAAGGUGGGGAUGACGUCAAAUCAUCAUGCCCCUUAUGUCUUGGGCUUCACGCAUGCUACAAUGGCCGGUACAAAGGGCUGCAAUACCGUGAGGUGGAGCGAAUCCCAAAAAGCCGGUCCCAGUUCGGAUUGAGGUCUGCAACUCGACCUCAUGAAGUCGGAGUCGCUAGUAAUCGCAGAUCAGCAACGCUGCGGUGAAUACGUUCCCGGGUCUUGUACACACCGCCCGUCAAGUCAUGAAAGUCGGUAACACCUGAAGCCGGUGGCCUAACCCUUGUGGAGGGAGCUGUCGAAGGUGGGAUCGGUAAUUAGGA
rnacentral:rRNA from 1 species